rnacentral:lncRNA from 1 species
ACAAAUCUGAGAGUUAAAAACUCUGGGAGAAUCAACUAUCCAGUGUUCAGUCACUUCCUUUGAAAGGCUACUACAUCAUGGUGACUUGAUCCAAACAUCGAAGUUAACAUUCCAUCACCUAAACUAUACUGAAGGCUGGAGGGAGGGGAAGCCAACAGAGGAGAGGUCAGAAGAGAAGGAAAUCUAUAAUGGUCAGAAGAGGAAAUUAAUAGACAUGGUCUAAGAUUGAUAAAUCAAGAAAUCAUCAUAGAUGAAGGUGAAUGCCAAGAAAAACAAGCCCCAGAGAUGAAAGCAACUGUCUCUGAAGUGAAACUGGAGGCUGGAAGGGGAAGGGAGGGAACUGAAGUUUUUCAUCCUAAGCUUUUUAAUUCUAUGACUGUUUUCCUCCAUAUGUGUGUGUGACUUUGAGACACAUUAUUUACUUU